rnacentral:rRNA from 1 species
UGGGGAAUAUUGGACAAUGGGCGAAAGCCUGAUCCAGCCAUGCCGCGUGAGUGAUGAAGGCCCUAGGGUUGUAAAGCUCUUUUAGCGGGGAAGAUAAUGACGGUACCCGCAGAAUAAGCCCCGGCUAACUUCGUGCCAGCAGCCGCGGUAAUACGAAGGGGGCUAGCGUUGCUCGGAAUCACUGGGCGUAAAGGGCGCGUAGGCGGCCAUUCAAGUCGGGGGUGAAAGCCCAGGGCUCAACCCUGGAAUUGCCUUCGAUACUGUUUGGCUAGAGACCGGAAGAGGUAAGUGGAACUGCGAGUGUAGAGGUGAAAUUCGUAGAUAUUCGCAAGAACACCAGUGGCGAAGGCGGC